AUUUUUUAUGUAACAAGCAUCAAUAAAAAUCUGUUCUUAUCAGCUUAAUAUCUGAUACGGGUCCUAUUUGGACCCAAGAUAUUAAUCUUAUUUUUGGAAUGCGGCGUAGUGCUUGAGGUUUACCUCACCUAUGCCACGUGUUGGCCCGGUAUUGCACUGCCUCCGGGAUCGGCCCACCCCCC
rnacentral:snRNA from 1 species